ensembl:ncRNA F35B12.15 ncRNA
AAACUGGCGUCAUUUCCCGGAAAGCCGAAAAGCGGGUCGGUUCCCAUCUUCAUGCUCAUCCCGUACUUUUGUGCCCGGUCUAAAUUAUUCAACCAAUUAGCUCAUCUAAUUCGGUUUAUAAGAUGUAAACACAGAAAAUGGGUUGCGAAAUACUUUCGGUCUU